AGAGUUUGAUCAUGGCUCAGGAUGAACGCUGGCUGUGUGCCUAAUACAUGCAUGUUGAACGAAGCUAAAAGUGCUUGCACUUUAAGACUUAGUAGCGAAUGGGUGAGUAACACGUACUUAACCUACCCCCAAGUUUGGGAUAACGUUUGGAAACGAACGCUAAUACCGAAUACGUAUUUUUAUCGCAUGAUAGAAAUAUAAAAGGAGCUUCGGCUUCGCUAGGGGAUGGGAGUGCGCUACAUUAGUUAGUUGGUAGGGUAAUGGCCUACCAAGACUAUGAUGUAUAGCGGGGCCGAGAGGCUGAUCCGCCACACUGGGACUGAGAUACGGCCCAGACUCCUACGGGAGGCAGCAGUAGGGAAUUUUCCACAAUGAACGAAAGUUUGAUGGAGCGACACAGCGUGCAGGAUGAAGGUCUUCGGAUCGUAAACUGCUGUUAUAAGGGAAGAAAAACUUUAGUAAGUAAUGACUAGAACUUGACGGUACCUUAUCAGAAGGCGACGGCUAACUAUGUGCCAGCAGCCGCGGUAAU
rnacentral:rRNA from 1 species